rnacentral:rRNA from 1 species
UACGGAGGGUGCAAACGUUGCUCGGAAUCAUUGGGCGUAAAGCGCACGUAGGCGGCGCGCUAAGUUGGAUGUGAAAGCCCUCGGCUUAACCGAGGAAGUGCAUACAAAACUGGCGUGCUUGAGUACAAAAGAGGAUCGCGGAAUUCCCGGUGUAGAGGUGAAAUUCGUAGAUAUCGGGAGGAACACCAGCGGCGAAGGCGGCGAUCUGGGUUGAUACUGACGCUGAGGUGCGAAAGCGUGGGGAGCAAACAGG